rnacentral:rRNA from 1 species
AGGACAAACGCUGGCGGCGUACCUAAGACAUGCAAGUCGAACGGGACUUUCCGCCUUUGGUGGGAAGUCGAGUGGCGGACGGGUGAGUAACGCGUGGGAACCUGUCGCGCGGUGGGGGAUACCGCCGGGAAACCGGCGCUAAUACCGCAUAGGUUCAUCGGAAGGUGAACAAAGCAGCAAUGCGCCGUGUGAGGGGCCCGCGUCCGAUUAGCUCGUUGGUGGGGUAACGGCCUACCAAGGCGACGAUCGGUAGCUGGUCUGAGAGGACGAUCAGCCACACUGGGAUUGAGAACGGCCCAGACUCCUACGGGGGGCAGCAGUGAGGAAUUUCCGCAAUGGGCGCAAGCCUGACGGAGCAACGCCGCGUGCAGGAAGACGGUUUUCGGAUCGUAAACUGCUUUUCUCGGGGACGAGAACGGACGGUACCCGAGGAAUCAGCCCCGGCUAACUACGUGCCAGCAGCCGC